rnacentral:rRNA from 1 species
ACCUGAACUCAGACGUGAAUACCCGCUGAACUUAAGCAUAUCAGUAAGCGGAGGAAAAGAAACUAAAAAGGAUUCCCGUAGUAACGGCGAGUGAACUGGGAAGAUGUCCAGCGCUGAAUCGUGGCGCCUCUGGUGCCAUGAGGUGUAGCGUACAGACCGUGAGUGUGGGUUGGCUCGCCCGUUCAAGUUUCCCUUGACCGGGGCUCCAGAGAAGGUGCAAGGCCUGUCCAACGGGUGGCCGUCAGCCCAUCUUCGCGUGUCUUUGAGUCGGGUUGUUUGGGAUCGCAGCCCAAAGCAGGUGGUAAACUUCAUCUAAGACUGAAUAUGACCACGAGUCCGAUAGCGAACAAGUACUGUGAAGGAAAGUUGCAAAGCACUUUGAAGAGAGAGUUAAAAAGGACGUGAAACCGAUGAGGUGGAAACGGACAGAGCCGGCGUAUCUGGCCUGUAUUCAGCCAUGGGCCUUUGGCGCUGGGCGGUUGCUCUCCAGAUUGGGACGACUGUUUGGCUGCUUGGGUGUCUGUGGUGCAUUUGCAGGUGGAGUGCGCUGAGGCGGUCGGGGCAGUGGCAUGAGCUCGGUUUUGAGGCCAGCCUUUCGGGGUCUGGUACCCGAACCGGGGGAGUGCUAUUUGGCCUGGCCGGGACGGGGAAUGGUUUCGGGCCCGAUUGGGUGCCGAGCUGGCAGUCGGUGGCGGUCGCAUGCAACACGUGCCAGCGGUCAGUUCGGUCCUGGUCGAGCUCUCAAAGCCAUCCUCGGUGUAAAAGCUGGUCAUCUGUCCGACCCGUCUUGAAACACGGACCAAGGAGUUUAGCGUGUGCGCGAGUCAUUGGGCGUUGAAAACCCAAAGGCGCAAUGAAGGUGAAGGUCUCCCUUGCGGAGCUGAUGUGUGACCCGGGUCAUCACGGUGGCCCGGAGCAACAUAGUCCCGUCCCGACCGCAUGCGGUGGGGCGGAGACAGAGCGUACGCGCUGAGACCCGAAAGAUGGUGAACUAUUCCUGAGCAGGACGAAGCCAGAGGAAACUCUGGUGGAAGUCCGAAGCGAUUCUGACGUGCAAAUCGAUCGUCUGACUUGGGUAUAGGGGCGAAAGACUAAUCGAACCAUCUAGUAGCUGGUUCCUUCCGA